GCGCAGCAGGCGCGAAAGCGUGACGGGGAACCCAAGUGCCAACACAACGUGUUGGCUUUCUGGAGUGUAAAAGCUCCAGGAAUAAGGGCUGGGUAAGACCGGUGCCAGCCGCCGCGGUAACACCGGCAGCCCGAGUGAUGUCCGCGUUUAUUGGGCUUAAAGCGUCCGUAGCCGGCCUGUUAAGUCCCCGGUCAAAUCCGGCGGCUUAACCGUCGGGUCUAUCGGUGGGAUACGUGGCGAGGCUCGGACGGGCCGGGA
rnacentral:rRNA from 1 species